rnacentral:rRNA from 1 species
UACGGGGGAGCAAGCGUUGUUCGGAUUUACUGGGCGUAAAGGGCGCGUAGGCGGCCACCGCAAGUCGGUUGUGAAAUCUCUGGGCUUAACUCAGAAGGUCACCGAUACUGCGGGGCUAGAGUGCAGAAGGGGCAACUGGAAUUCUCGGUGUAGCGGUGAAAUGCGUAGAUAUCGAGAGGAACACCUGCGGCGAAGGCGGGUUGCUGGGCUGACACUGACGCUGAAGCGCGAAAGCGUGGGGAGCAAACAGG